rnacentral:rRNA from 1 species
CCCAGACUCCUACGGGAGGCAGCAGUGGGGAAUAUUGCACAAUGGGGGAAACCCUGAUGCAGCAACGCCGCGUGAGUGAAGAAGUAUUUCGGUAUGUAAAGCUCUAUCAGCAGGGAAGAAGAAGGACGGUACCUGACUAAGAAGCCCCGGCUAACUACGUGCCAGCAGCCGCGGUAAUACGUAGGGGGCGAGCGUUAUCCGGAUUUACUGGGUGUAAAGGGAGCGUAGACGGUUAAUCAAGUCUGAAGUGAAAGCCCGCGGCUCAACUGCGGAACGGCUUUGGAAACUGAGUAACUGGAGUGCUGGAGGGGCAGGCGGAAUUCCUGGUGUAGCGGUGAAAUGCGUAGAUAUCAGGAGGAACACCGGUGGCGAAGGCGGCCUGCUGGACAGUAACUGACGUUGAGGCUCGAAAGCGUGGGGAGCAAACAGGAUUAGAUACCCUCGUAA